GUCGGGGUGGCGAAAUGGUAUACGCAAGAGCCUUAAGAGCUCUCGAAGUUUUUGCUUCGUGCGGGUUCGAGUCCCGCUCCCGACA
rnacentral:tRNA from 1 species